ACUUCGGUCUGGUGGCGAGUGGCGAACGGGUGAGUAAUGUAUCGGAACGUGCCCAGUAGCGGGGGAUAACUACGCGAAAGCGUAGCUAAUACCGCAUACGCCCUACGGGGGAAAGCAGGGGAUCGCAAGACCUUGCACUAUUGGAGCGGCCGAUAUCGGAUUAGCUAGUUGGUGGGGUAACGGCUCGCCAAGGCGACGAUCCGUAGCUGGUUUGAGAGGACGACCAGCCACACUGGGACUGAGACACGGCCCAGACUCCUACGGGAGGCAGCAGUGGGGAAUUUUGGACAAUGGGGGAAACCCUGAUCCAGCCAUCCCGCGUGUGCGAUGAAGGCCUUCGGGUUGUAAAGCACUUUUGGCAGGAAAGAAACGUCAUGGGUUAAUACCCCGUGAAACUGACGGUACCUGCAGAAUAAGCACCGGCUAACUACGUGCCAGCAGCCGCGGUAAUACGUAGGGUGCAAGCGUUAAUCGGAAUUACUGGGCGUAAAGCGUG
rnacentral:rRNA from 1 species